UACGUAGGGUGCGAGCGUUGUCCGGAAUUAUUGGGCGUAAAGAGCUCGUAGGCGGUCUGUUGCGUCGGUUGUGAAAACCUGGGGCUCAACUCCAGGCCUGCAAUCGAUACGGGCAGACUAGAGUUCGGUAGGGGAGACUGGAAUUCCUGGUGUAGCGGUGAAAUGCGCAGAUAUCAGGAAGAACACCCGUGGCGAAGGCGGCUCUCUGGGACGGUACUGACGCUGAGACGCGAAAGCGUGGGGAGCGAACAGG
rnacentral:rRNA from 1 species